GUCGAGCGGAUCAAUGGGGAGCUUGCUCCCCUGAGAUCAGCGGCGGACGGGUGAGUAACACGUGGGCAACCUGCCUGUAAGACUGGGAUAACUCCGGGAAACCGGGGCUAAUACCGGAUAACAUUUUCCACUGCAUAGUGGAGAAUUAAAAGAUGGCUUCGGCUAUCACUUACAGAUGGGCCCGCGGCGCAUUAGCUAGUUGGUGAGGUAAGGGCUCACCAAGGCGACGAUGCGUAGCCGACCUGAGAGGGUGAUCGGCCACACUGGGACUGAGACACGGCCCAGACUCCUACGGGAGGCAGCAGUAGGGAAUCUUCGGCAAUGGGCGAAAGCCUGACCGAGCAACGCCGCGUGAGCGAUGAAGGCCUUCGGGUCGUAAAGCUCUGUUGUUAGGGAAGAACAAGUACCGUUCAAAUAGGGCGGUACCUUGACGGUACCUAACCAGAAAGCCACGGCUAACUACGUGCCAGCAGCCGCGGUAAUACGUAGGUGGCAAGCGUUGUCCGGGAAUUAUUGGGCGUAAAGCGCGCGCAGGCGGUCUCUUAAGUCUGAUGUGAAAGCCCACGGCUCAACCGUGGAGGGUCAUUGGAAACUGGGGGACUUGAGUACUGGAGAGGAGAGUGGAAUUCCAUGUGUAGCGGUGAAAUGCGUAGAUAUAUGGAGGAACACCAGUGGCGAAGGCGGCUCUCUGGCCAGUAACUGACGCUGAGGCGCGAAAGCGUGGGGAGCAAACAGGAUUAGAUACCCUGGUAGUCCACGCCGUAAACGAUGAGUG
rnacentral:rRNA from 1 species